AGCUUUGCACAGUGGCAGUAUUGCAGUCAAUGAGGUUAAUCCUAGAUGCAAUUAUUGCUAAUUGAAAACUUAUCCCAAUACCCCACCACAAAAUAUAGUCAUCAUUGGCAAUUUUUGACAGUCUAUUUUUUUCAAGUUUGCAGA